rnacentral:rRNA from 4 species
UGGGACAAAUGAUUGGGGUGAAGUCGUAACAAGGUAGCCGUAUCGGAAGGUGCGGCUGGAUCACCUCCUUU